AGAGUUUGAUCCUGGCUCAGGAUGAACGCUAGCUACAGGCUUAACACAUGCAAGUCGAGGGGCAGCAUGGUCUUAGCUUGCUAAGGCCGAUGGCGACCGGCGCACGGGUGAGUAACACGUAUCCAACCUGCCGUCUACUCUUGGACAGCCUUCUGAAAGGAAGAUUAAUACAAGAUGGCAUCAUGAGUCCGCAUGUUCACAUGAUUAAAGGUAUUCCGGUAGACGAUGGGGAUGCGUUCCAUUAGAUAGUAGGCGGGGUAACGGCCCACCUAGUCUUCGAUGGAUAGGGGUUCUGAGAGGAAGGUCCCCCACAUUGGAACUGAGACACGGUCCAAACUCCUACGGGAGGCAGCAGUGAGGAAUAUUGGUCAAUGGACGAGAGUCUGAACCAGCCAAGUAGCGUGAAGGAUGACUGCCCUAUGGGUUGUAAACUUCUUUUAUAAAGGAAUAAAGUCGGGUAUGGAUACCCGUUUGCAUGUACUUUAUGAAUAAGGAUCGGCUAACUCCGUGCCAGCAGCCGCGGUAAUACGGAGGAUCCGAGCGUUAUCCGGAUUUAUUGGGUUUAAAGGGAGCGUAGAUGGAUGUUUAAGUCAGUUGUGAAAGUUUGCGGCUCAACCGUAAAAUUGCAGUUGAUACUGGAUAUCUUGAGUGCAGUUGAGGCAGGCGGAAUUCGUGGUGUAGCGGUGAAAUGCUUAGAUAUCACGAAGAACUCCGAUUGCGAAGGCAGCCUGCUAAGCUGCAACUGACAUUGAGGCUCGAAAGUGUGGGUAUCAAACAGGAUUAGAUACCCUGGUAGUCCACACGGUAAACGAUGAAUACUCGCUGUUUGCGAUAUACAGCAAGCGGCCAAGCGAAAGCGUUAAGUAUUCCACCUGGGGAGUACGCCGGCAACGGUGAAACUCAAAGGAAUUGACGGGGGCCCGCACAAGCGGAGGAACAUGUGGUUUAAUUCGAUGAUACGCGAGGAACCUUACCCGGGCUUAAAUUGCAGAUGAAUUACGGUGAAAGCCGUAAGCCGCAAGGCAUCUGUGAAGGUGCUGCAUGGUUGUCGUCAGCUCGUGCCGUGAGGUGUCGGCUUAAGUGCCAUAACGAGCGCAACCCUUGUUGUCAGUUACUAACAGGUUCCGCUGAGGACUCUGACAAGACUGCCAUCGUAAGAUGUGAGGAAGGUGGGGAUGACGUCAAAUCAGCACGGCCCUUACGUCCGGGGCUACACACGUGUUACAAUGGGGGGUACAGAGGGCCGCUACCACGCGAGUGGAUGCCAAUCCCCAAAACCUCUCUCAGUUCGGACUGGAGUCUGCAACCCGACUCCACGAAGCUGGAUUCGCUAGUAAUCGCGCAUCAGCCACGGCGCGGUGAAUACGUUCCCGGGCCUUGUACACACCGCCCGUCAAGCCAUGAAAGCCGGGGGUACCUGAAGUACGUAACCGCGAGGAGCGUCCUAGGGUAAAACUGGUGAUUGGGGCUAAGUCGUAACAAGGUAGCCGUACCGGAAGGUGCGGCUG
rnacentral:rRNA from 1 species